GACGAACGCUGGCGGCGUGCCUAACACAUGCAAGUCGAACGGGACUUAUUGGAUCGAGGCUUCGGCCAAGUGAAUUUAAGUUUAGUGGCGAACGGGUGAGUAACACGUGAGGAACCUGCCUUUCAGUGGGGGACAACAGUUGGAAACGACUGCUAAUACCGCAUAACAUCUUUGGACCGCAUGAUCUGAAGAUCAAAGCUUUAUGUGCUGAAAGAUGGCCUCGCGUCUGAUUAGAUAGUUGGUGGGGUAACGGCCUACCAAGUCGACGAUCAGUAGCCGGGUUGAGAGACUGACCGGCCACAUUGGGACUGAGAUACGGCCCAG
rnacentral:rRNA from 1 species